CUCUGGCGGGCAGCUUUUUCGUGUUGAUCAUUUUCGCUGCAUAUUCCUGCCCUGUCGAUAGUUUGACACAUCUGCGGACGGUGGAGAAAGCACCUCUGCCGACCUCCUCACAGCUCUGGAAUUCAGA